UAAGACAAUCUCGCAUUGCUCACUAGCUUGCUUGGAAAGGGUAAGGAAAAAUGUUUCAGGCAUAAGGGUAGACAUAUCUGGUGAUGAGAAAUAAAAGGCUCAACAUACACGGCUCAAAUUGGCAAUCUAAUGAUAUCAUUUUUCUUUGGGAAACAUGGUUAUUUAGGCCAUAGUGGUAAACCUAAUGCCUUUAUCAUUUCCAAGUUCAUGCAAUCAAUGACAAACAUUUCGAAAGAUCGUUACGCAAGUUCUAGAGAUGUAUCUCACAUAAGUUCAUCACACAUGAAAGAAUAGGAGUGUAUGAAAAAUGCACACACUUUCAAUAGGCUCAAAAACUCACAUAGGAUGUAUAUGGUCACUAAAUUCACAUAUGAAGCUUUAAGUCAUGUUUUAGUUUCACAUCAACAAGGCU
rnacentral:lncRNA from 1 species